GUGGGGAAUAUUGGACAAUGGGCGAAAGCCUGAUCCAGCCAUGCCGCGUGUGUGAAGAAGGUCUUCGGAUUGUAAAGCACUUUAAGUUGGGAGGAAGGGCAGUAAGUUAAUACCUUGCUGUUUUGACGUUACCGACAGAAUAAGCACCGGCUAACUUCGUGCCAGCAGCCGCGGUAAUACGAAGGGUGCAAGCGUUAAUCGGAAUUACUGGGCGUAAAGCGCGCGUAGGUGGUUUUGUAAGUUGGAGGUGAAAUCCCCGGGCUCAACCUGGGAACUGCCUCCAAAACUGCAUGACUAGAGUACGGUAGAGGGUAGUGGAAUUGCCUGUGUAGCGGUGAAAUGCGUAGAUAUAGGAAGGAACACCAGUGGCGAAGGCGACUACCUGGACUGAUACUGACACUGAGGUGCGAAAGCGUGGGGAGCAAACAGGAUUAGAAACCCUAGUAGUCC
rnacentral:rRNA from 1 species